rnacentral:rRNA from 1 species
GAUGAACGCUGGUGGCAUGCCUAACACAUGCAAGUCGAGCGAUUCUCUUCGGAGAAGAGCGGCGGACGGGCGUGUAGCGCGUGGGUAACCUGCCCUGUACACACGGAUAACAUACCGAAGGGUAUGCUAAUACGAAAUAACAUGCUUUUAUCGCAUGGUAGAAUUAUGAAAGCUUUUGCGUUACAGGAUGGACCCGCGUCUGAUUAGCUAGUUGGUGAGGUAACGGCUCACCAAGGCGACGAUCAGUAGCGGAUCUGAGAGGGUGAUCGGCCACACUGGAACUGAGACACGGCCCAGACUCCUACGGGAGGCAGCAGUGGGGAAUAUUGCACAAUGGGCGAAAGCCUGAUGCAGCAACGCCGCGUGAGCGAUGAAGGCCUUCGGGUUGUAAAGCUCUGUUCUCAAGGAAGAUAAUGACGGUACCUGAGGAGGAAGCUCCGGCUAACUACGUG